rfam:Bombyx mori DNA, contig: Bm_scaf19_contig13925, strain: p50T/Dazao, build 2, whole genome shotgun sequence.
ACAACAUUCGGACCGUCGGUCUACCGAGCAAUAUCACCCGCUCGGUGGAAGAUCUUCUCUUUGUCGU